UUCUUGGUCAUUUAGAGGAAGUAAAAGUCGUAACAAGGUUUCCGUAGGUGAACCUGCGGAAGGAUCAUUAAAGAAAUUUAAUAAUUUUGAAAAUGGAUUUUUUUGUUUUGGCAAGAGCAUGAGAGCUUUUACUGGGCAAGAGGACAAGAGAUGGAGAGUCCAGCCGGGCCUGCGCUUAAGUGCGCGGUCUUGCUAGGCUUGUAAGUUUCUUUCUUGCUAUUCCAAACGGUGAGAGAUUUCUGUGCUUUUGUUAUAGGACAAUUAAAACCGUUUCAAUACAACACACUGUGGAGUUUUCAUAUCUUUGCAACUUUUUCUUUGGGCAUUCGAGCAAUCGGGGCCCAGAGGUAACAAACACAAACAAUUUUAUCUAUUCAUUAAAUUUUUGUCAAAAACAAGAAUUUUCGUAACUGGAAAUUUUAAAAUAUUAAAAACUUUCAACAACGGAUCUCUUGGUUCUCGCAUCGAUGAAGAACGCAGCGAAAUGCGAUACGUAAUGUGAAUUGCAGAAUUCCGUGAAUCAUCGAAUCUUUGAACGCACAUUGCGCCCCUUGGUAUUCCAGGGGGCAUGCCUGUUUGAGCGUCAUUUCCUUCUCAAACAUUCUGUUUGGUAGUGAGUGAUACUCUUUGGAGUUAACUUGAAAUUGCUGGCCUUUUCAUUGGAUGUUUUUUUUCCAAAGAGAGGUUUCUCUGCGUGCUUGAGGUAUAAUGCAAGUACGGUCGUUUUAGGUUUUACCAACUGCGGCUAAUCUUUUUUUAUACUGAGCGUAUUGGAACGUUAUCGAUAAGAAGAGAGCGCCUAGGCGAACAAUGUUCUUAAAGUUUGACCUCAAAUCAGGUAGGAGUACCCGCUGAACUUAAGCAUAUCAAUAAGCGGAGGAA
rnacentral:rRNA from 1 species